GACGAACGCUGGCGGCGUGCUUAACACAUGCAAGUCGAGCGGUAAGGCCCUUUCGGGGGUACACGAGCGGCGAACGGGUGAGUAACACGUGGGUGACCUGCCCCCAGCUCUGGGAUAAGCCUGGGAAACUGGGUCUAAUACUGGAUAUGACUCCACGGUGCAUGUCGUGGGGUGGAAAGCCUUGUGCGGCUGAGGAUGGGCCCGCGGCCUAUCAGCUUGUUGGUGGGGUGAUGGCCUACCAAGGCGACGACGGGUAGCCGGCCUGAGAGGGCGACCGGCCACACUGGGACUGAGACACGGCCCAGACUCCUACGGGAGGCAGCAGUGGGGAAUCUUGCGCAAUGGGCGAAAGCCUGACGCAGCGACGCCGCGUGAGGGAUGACGGCCU
rnacentral:rRNA from 1 species